AUUGAACGCUGGCGGCAGGCCUAACACAUGCAAGUCGAACGGUAACAGGAAACAGCUUGCUGUUUCGCUGACGAGUGGCGGACGGGUGAGUAAUGUCUGGGAAACUGCCUGAUGGAGGGGGAUAACUACUGGAGACGGUAGCUAAUACCGCAUAACGUCGCAAGACCAAAGCGGGGGACCUUCGGGCCUCUUGCCAUCGGAUGUGCCCAGAUGGGAUUAGCUAGUAGGUGGGGUAACGGCUCACCUAGGCGACGAUCCCUAGCUGGUCUGAGAGGAUGACCAGCCACACUGGAACUGAGGCACGGUCCAGACUCCUACGGGAGGCAGCAGUGGGGAAUAUUGCACAAUGGGCGCAAGCCUGAUGCAGCCAUGCCGCGUGUAUGAAGAAGGCCUUCGGGUUGUAAAGUACUUUCAGCGGGGAGGAAGGGAGUAAAGUUAAUACCUUUGCUCAUUGACGUUACCCGCAGAAGAAGCACCGGCUAACUCCGUGCCAGCAGCCGCCGUAA
rnacentral:rRNA from 1 species